rnacentral:lncRNA from 1 species
AUCCAGACCCCCUAAAAUUCGAAGCCAUCAUAAUGCUAGAGAUGGGCUCAUGAAAUAUGAAAGUUUAUCCUAUAAAAAUAACAUUGGGAGUGUUGUAGGCAGCCCUUUCCUUUGUCAAAACCUACAUCAUGGCAAAAACAUACCCAAUUUAAAUUAUGAAUGAGCAGACAUACCCAGUUUAAAAUAAGGAAGAGUGAUCUCUGCUUUUGUUAUUUUGAGUAGGGAAAGUAGAGUUCAAAGAAAAUUGCUAAUAUUUAUGAUAUAUGAAAGCCCGUGCCUGAUUGAAACAAGAAGAGGAUAUGGCUGGGACAAUAAAUGGAUAUAUCUAAUAUCUAUAUCAAUAAAGGGGAUGUGGGCAAUGUAGUUCUCUUAUAAGCACAUUUAUUUUAGAAUAGGACAACCUGUGCUAAGCCUUCUAAGUAUUGCAGGCAGCCCAAGGACCAGAGAUUAGGUGAUCAAUAAAUAUGUAGGCACCUUUCUUAAGAUACUAUAGUAUACAUCCAGAGUCAGCCAGAAGGUUUGUUUAACAUGUGCCUUGUUUCACAUCACUCUCUCUCUCUGAUUGGGAUUCUUCAACCAUAAAGUUUUCCAUUUCUUUUGAACUAAAAUAGAGAUUCAUUUGAACUAAAACAGUGUAUGGGUUUUCCAUUUCUUUUUACCUAAUUUACUUUUCUAUUAUUUGUGAAGGCAAAACAAGUUCAUCCUGAUAAAAAUCGGAGUGGCCCUUUGGCAACUGAACGAUCUUAGGUAAGUUCACUUCUUUGUCAUUCAUUCAUCAUCUUCUUCUUAAUACUCUACUCUCCUUUAUUCAUCCCAAAACCAAGUGGAGGACCAAGUAUUCUUAAGUAAUCAUGUAAAUUUCAGACUGAAUAAUCAACUUAGAAAGAGUUUCAUUUUGUUAUCAUGCUUUAAACUAGACAUUUCAACUCUAGUAAGGUCUGUUUUACCAUAAGUGGUAACUUGUCAUUAAUUUAACUAUCAUAAAUAGUCAUAAUCAAUCUUAGAUUAAGUUAAUUUAACUAUCACAUUUCAAGACUGAAUAAUGACUUUACUAAAUCAUUCCUCUUACUUUGCUAUCAUGUAGACUUAUAAUGAAGAGUGGCAAAGACUUAGAAGAUGGGCUGCAACUUGUGUAGCUAUGUAUGCUGCAUAUGCGGCAAUUCUUGUUUCGGUUUAUCAUCGCUCAAACUAUAUGGAGAGAUCAAUCUCUAAUGAAGGAGAUUAUGAACGACAUGCUUUGAUGGAAAGACUUACACUAAUGGAUAAUGAAGAUUGUUAUAAUCAACUACGUAUGGGAAAGGAUGCAUUCGCAAGACUAGUAAACAUUCUUUGGGGAACAGGUCGUCUUAGAAAUAGUGCACAUAGUAAUGUAGAAGAACAAGUUGCCAAAUUCCUUCACAUUGUUGGUCAUAAUUUAAGGAAUAGAACUAUGAAAUUUUAUUUCAAGCGUUCUAGUGAAACUAUUAGUCGUCACUUUCAUCAAGUUCUUAGAGCUAUAAUAUCUUUAGAUGAUGUCUUCUUAAAGCAGCCUGAUGGAUUAAAGUGCCCUCAAGAAAUCAAGAACAAUACCAAAUUUUGGCCCUACUUUAAGGUAAACUUACUUAUCUAAUAAACAUCAUUAGAAUAUUAUUUAUAUUUUAAAAUAAACUAAUAAUCUUGUUUCUUUAUAGGAUUGCAUAGGGGCGAUUGAUGGGUCACAUUUUCGUGUAAAAGUGUCAAAUGAUGUUGUACAAAGGUAUCGAGGGCGAAAGUACUAUCCAACACAAAAUGUUUUAGCAGCAUGUUCCUUUGACUUGAAGUUCACAUAUGUUUUACCUGGUUGGGAAGGAUCUGCGUCAGACUCGAGAAUCCUAGAUAAUGCAUUAAUGAGAGAUUUUGAUAAAUUGAUUGUUCCACAAGGUGAUUAUUGGUGAUUAGAUAAUAAUUUAUUAGCUUAAGUGACUAUUACUAAUAAUAAAUAUCCUUUGUCUAUGCUUCUUAGGUAAAUAUUAUUUGGCCGAUGCGGGUUUUCAGCUAAAAACUGGAUUUCUUACCCCAUAUAGAAGCACUCGUUACCAUUUAAAAGAGUAUAGUGUUCAUCAACCAGAAAAUGCUAGAGAGGUUUUCAACCUUCGACACUCGUCCUUGAGAAAUGCAAUUGAAAGGGCAUUUGGUGUUUUGAAGAAAAGGUUUCCAAUAAUAGCUAGUGGGACGGAGCCACAUUACCCUGUUGACACACAAUCUGAUAUUAUACUAGCAUGUUGUAUCCUCCAUAACUAUCUCAUGGGUGUUGAUCCAAAUGAAAGAUUAAUAGCAGAGGUCGAUAGAGAGCUUUUUAGCGAAGAAGCGGAGUUUGAAUCAAUGGUCUUGAGUUUAGUUGAAAAAUGCAAGGAAGGAGAAAUCUUAAGGGAGAAAAUAGCCAUGGAUAUGUGGAAAGAUUACAAUAGAAACCGUUGAUGAGUCCUUUUAUUUUAUGGUUCUUUUCUUGUAUAGUUUUUUGUGUUUCAUAUUAAGUACGAUGAUUGUGUUUAGAACUAUAACUCCUCUAGUUAAAAUCACACUUUGAAUGAGUUACAAUGAAGUUAUUAUUAUAUCUCCUUCUCUUGACUUUUCAUUUUAAACAUAUAUAUAUAUAUAUAUAUAUAUAUAUAUAUGUAUUAUUAUUUCAGAUGGAACAUAGUGAAGGCUUUGAAGUACACAAAAGUGUAAGUGAAAAAAGAAACUUGACUUGGAUUGAUGAAAUGGACAACUUUUUGGUUGAUCGAUUAAUGGAGCAAAUGCAUAAAGGGCAAAAGAUAGGAGGAGUCUUCACCAAGACAGCUUAUGUAAUGGUUGCGCGAGAAAUUGGGGAAAAUUUUGAAUUGAGUUGUAACUCUGAGCACAUAAAAAAUAGAAUGAAAACUUUUUAAAAAAACUUUUAUGCUGCUCAAGAAGUUUUAGAAAAUGGUAGUGGAUUUGGUUUCAAUGAAUCAACUUAAAUGAUCGAAGCUACCACGGAAGUAUGGACUACUUACACUAAGGUGAGUUAAUUAUUAUUUUUGAGUUAUUAGAAUAAAAAUUUUGCAUGUAAUGUAGAGUUAUAAAUUUCUAAUAGACAUUAUCACAAUUGAACUCGAGUUUUGUUAAUAUUUGUUUUUCUGAUGUUAAAAGGCACACCUAGGAGCAUCUCAGCUCAGACACAAACCUAUUAGAAAUUAUGAUAAGUUGUCCAUUCUUCUUGGAAAAGAUCGAGCAACAGGAAGUCUUGCUACAGGUGCAAAAGAAAGACAACUUCGUUGGGCCCAGGAACAAAAUUUGGAUGACACAAUUCCAUUAGGAUCAUCACAACAUGGGAUUAGAGAUGAAACAUUUCCUUAUGUUGAAAAUGAAGCAACAACUGAGACAUCUUUCUCAUCUGCAGAUGCAUCUGUUUCUGCACCAAAGUCAAACAAAGAAACAAAAAAGCGAAAAGCAAAAUAUGCUGACAUUGUAAGUGAAGAAUUAAGGUCAAUUAGAGUUGGAAUGGAUGCAGUUGUUGCGGCUCUUGAUAGAAGCAACCUUCAAAAUUAUACAGAAGAGCAAUUGUUUGAAGAGAUUGCUAAGAUUGGAGGCAUGAGUGAUGUAUCUCAUAUGAAAGCAUAUCAAGCUCUUACCGGUGAUGUGAGUGCAGCCCGAGCCUUCCUUGCUUGUCCAAUUGAUAGGCGUAAGCUUUGGUUGUCAGUUAAAUUUGGACCUACUUUUUUUUAUGCCUAAUUUGAGAUAAUCUACUUAAAAAGGCUUGAAAGUAGAACAUGAUUUUAUUCCACUUGUUCCACAAGUAUCAAUGGGUGUGCAGAUCAAACAAGCCUAAUGGACAGCCUAAGUGGCUUCUUUCUCUUAUUCCAG